rnacentral:rRNA from 1 species
UACGUAGGGUGCAAGCGUUGUCCGGAAUUAUUGGGCGUAAAGGGCUCGUAGGCGGUCCAUCGCGUCGGGAGUGAAAAGCUGGGGCUUAACCCCAGUCCUGCUUUCGAUACGGGUGGACUAGAGGUAGGCAGGGGAGAACGGAAUUCCUGGUGUAGCGGUGAAAUGCGUAGAUAUCAGAAGGAACAUCAGUGGCGAAAGCGGCUUCCUGGUCCAGUACCGACGUUCAGGCACGAAAGCGUGGGGAGCAAACAGG